GUUUUAAUAGUUUAACAAAAAACAUUGAUUUUGUAAAUCAAAAAUGAACUUUAUCUUAAAAUU
rnacentral:tRNA from 1 species